AGCUUUGCACAGUGGCAGUAUCAUAGCCAAUGAAGUUUGUCCGAAGCAUGAUUAUUACUAAUUGAAAAUAAAAUAAGUUGCAGACGUAAGUGUACUUCAUUCCCAGACAUUUUAUCAUGUUUAUAAUUAAUUGGGUUUA